rnacentral:rRNA from 1 species
ACGCUGGCGGCAUGCCUAACACAUGCAAGUCGAACGGUAACAGGUCUUCGGAUGCUGACGAGUGGCGGACGGGUGAGUAACGCGUAGGAAUCUGUCUUUGAGUGGGGGACAACCCAGGGAAACUUGGGCUAAUACCGCAUAAGCCCUGAGGGGGAAAGCGGGGGAUCUUCGGACCUCGCGCUGGAAGAGGAGCCUACGUCUGAUUAGCUAGUUGGUAGGGUAAAGGCCUACCAAGGCGACGAUCGGUAGCUGGUCUGAGAGGACGACCAGCCACACUGGGACUGAGACACGGCCCAGACUCCUACGGGAGGCAGCAGUGGGGAAUUUCUCGCAAUGGGGCAACCCUGACGAAGCAAAUGCCGCGUGAAUGAAGAAGGCCUUCGGGUUGUAAAGUUCUUUCGUGGAGGACGAAGGUUCUUUCGUUGGAGGACGAAAAGGUGGGUGCUAAUAUCGCCUGCUGUUGAACGUGAAUCCAAGAAGAAGCACCCGGCUAACUCCGUGCCAGCAGCCGCSGUAAUACGGGGGGUGCAAGCGUUAAUCGGACGAAUCACUUUGGGCGUAAAGGGUGCGUAGGCGGUGCAUUAGGUCUGUCGUGAAAUCCCGGGCUCAACCUGGGAAUGGCGGUGAGAAACCGGUGUACGAGAGUAUGGGAGAGGGUGGUGGAAUUCCAGGUGUAGCGGUGAAUGCGUAGAGAUCUGGAGGAACAUCAGUGGCGAAGGCGGCCACCUGGCCCAAUACUGACGCUGAGGCACGAAAGCGUGGGGAGCAAACAGGAUUAGAUACCCUGGUAGUCCACGCGCCUAAACGAUGAAUACUAGAUGUUUGGUGCCAAGCGUACUGAGUGUCGUAGCUAACGCGAUAAGUAUUCCGCCUGGGAAGUACGGGCGCCGCAAGGUUAAAACUCAAAGGAAUUGACGGGGGGGCCCGCACAAGCGGUGGAGCAUGUGGUUUAAUUCGAUGCAACGCGAAGGAACCUUACCUGGGGCUUGACAUGUCUGGAAUCCUGCAGAGAUGCGAGUGCCCUUCGGGGAAUCAGACACAGGUGCUGCAUGGGGGGCUGUCGUCAGCUCGUGUCGUGAGAUGUUGGGUUAAGUCCCGCAACGAGCGCAACCCUUGUCCUUUUAGGUUGCCAGCGGUUCGGCCGGGCACUCUAGGGAGACUGCCAAGGUGACAAACCGGAAAGGAAGGUGGGGAUGACGUCAAGUCCUCAUGGCCUUUAUGUCCAGGGCUACACACGUGCUACAAUGGCGCGUACAGAAGGGAGCCAAGCCGCCGAGGUGGAGCAGACCCCAGAUAGCGCGUCGUAGUUCGGAUUGCAGUCUGCAACUCGACUGCAUGAAAUCGGAAUCGCUAGUAAUCGCGGAUCAGCAUGCCGCGGUGAAUACGUUUCCCGGGCCUUGUACACACCGCCCGUCACACCAUGGGAGUGGAUUGUACCAGAAGCCGUUACCCCGCCUAACCUUCGGAAGGCGAUGACCACGGUAUGGUUCAUGACUGGGGUGAAGUCGUAACAAGGUAGCC